rnacentral:lncRNA from 1 species
GUUUGCAAUAUAAAUAUUCAAGACAUAAGCCAAAAACUGGCCUUUAUAUACCUCACUUCUACUGGAAGAACUAAGCAAAAAUAAACCACAAAAAAACCACAAAAACACACAAAAAAACAAACCAUAAAAGCUAUGAAGACCAAUCUGUGACAUAGUAUGAUUAAUUAAAAUUUAAUUUUUAUAAUUCUAUAUUAAUGAAUAGCUAUUUUUCCUAAACAGAUACUUUAAAAAUUACAUUAUUCAAUCAAUGAUUCAAAACUGAAUGGUUUCUUUUAGGGUUUCAUUGGUACAUAUUAAACCAAAGGCAUCAGGAAUACAUUAAAAAAAUGCAGAACAAGCCAGCCAACCAAAAAACAUGGACAAAGAUUUUAAAUGUACUUUAAUUAGGGCAUACCCCAAUAGAUCUAUAUAAUGCUGACAAAAAGUCAUCAGAUCAACUAUAGCAAGCUAGAACCAAGAUGCUUGAGUUAACACAAAUUAAAGUCUGGUAUAUACACCAAUUAACAAGGAAUCUCAGGCCUCAUUCUGUAGUGUACCUAUCCCUUUAAGAGAGGCAUCUGGAAGAUUGCUAUGAUUUAGAAUCAUCUCCAAGGUGACUGAGUGUUUUCCAGAGGGAAACAUACUCCAGGCCACAGAGCAUUAGGAAAAACUAAAAAAAGACCUUUUCUCCUUCUUUAUGUCACCUUGGGGUCACUAAUUAUAAGCCUGGAAUCAAAUAUAACAUGAACAGUAGACCUCACACCUACCUUGGUGAUGACUAUCUGAACUGUAUAUCUUAGGACCUUUCUUCCUUACUGGCGAAUUAUGAUAGGCCUUCUGGAUUGAUGACUGGGUGGAAGCAAACGAAUUUUCAAAAUCAUCUGAAUAAAAGAAGAAGGGAAUAUACAAAAGAGCCAUUGUACAGUGCUAAAGAAGCACAGAGAACCUGCAUAAUGCCUAUGGAGCACAAGGUCAAAGAGACCAGAUCCCAAUGAGAUUGAUGAAAGAAGGCUAAUUGGAGCACUCUGCAAAAUGAAUAUUUAUUUUGCAGAUACACAUGAGAUGAG